GGAUGGGGGGCAGUGGAAGAAAGAAAAAAAGAAAAGAAGGAAAAACAAAGAGGAAAAAAUGGGGAAAAAAGAAAAUAGGAAAGAAAAAAAAAGGAAAAAAAAAGAAGGAACAAAAAGAAAAUAAAAGAAAAAGGAGGAAAAAAAUGAGAAAAGUGGAAAAAGAAAAAGAAGGCGAAAAAGAAAGAAAGGAGAUAAUGUAGAGGUAAAAGCAGAAAAGGAGGGAAAGGAAAAGACGAAGGAGAAAAAGGAGGAAAAGAGCAAGAAAGAAAAAGGGAAAGUAAUAGAAAAAGGAAAAGAAAAAGAAGGAAAAAGAAAAAAGAAAAGCAAAACUAAAGAGAGGAAAAGCGUGAAAAUAAAAAGGCAAACAGGGAAAAGGAAAAAAAAAAAAGGAAGAAAAGGAAAAAAAGGAAAAAAAGGAAGAAAAGGAAGAAAUGGAAAAGCGCCCUGUGCGCGCUGCAGGAGUGUCUGCCCAGAGCGGGGCUGCGGUGCGGUGCGGUGCUCGGGGCUGGCAGCGGCCGUCACCGGGUGAGGAUCCGGCCCCGCGCCUUCCCAUGAGCCGAACCCGACAUCAAAGGGCACGCGAUAGCAAUGUGGAGCGCACAUGGGCGGCUCGCGAGCCCGUCUGUCAAGCCACGUUUCCUGGUGCUCCCUGCCCUCCGCCCGGCAGCCCGAGCCCCCCGGACGCGGGGCAGCAGAAGCACUCGGGAGCUCCGGGCGGGCUGCGCACCCGCGGCGUCCCGAAGCCAUCCCGGGGAGCCGCCCGCUGCCUUUGCUCCUCCAUGGGACGCGAGGACGAGCUGCGAGUUAAUAGCCAUUGUCAUCCAGGGGUGGUUUCAAUUAUCUUUUGGGGCCUCUCCAGACUUAACUCGUCUUCUGCCACUUUGCCGCGCAACCCGGGCACCGGUCCAACAUCCCUCUCCGAGGCAGCCUUGCAAGCGGCACCUCACCUGCUGGCAGCCACCGGCCCCGCCAGCCCGCUGCUCAGCCCGGCCGGCAAACGUCGGGGCCCACGUCCCCCCGCCGCCCUCCUGCUCGGCCAUUGCGGGUGGCCCCGGGGCUCUCCGGGGCCGGAGACGCAGCGGGAUGCGAGAUGGGCUGUGAUGGGAGACCAAGGAAGAUUUUCAGGCUUUGCACUGUCUGAGAGUGGAGGCAGGAAGUGAAAUUAAGACCAUUCGGCUCUGCAUGAGCAUUCAAGAAACCGGUCUUCUAAACAUUUUCGUUAAGAAAUUAAAGGAAGUUUCUGUUUAGGGUGGAACCAGGAGUUUGUGCUAUAUCCUAACGACGACAAAUUUCUACCAUUCUUCAGAAACUUUUUCAUUCCUUCACCCCACAAUGUUUAGGAGAAUUAUAGGCAUAGAGCAGGAGGUGUCUGUGCACCCAUUUACGCACCGCUGUGUGCAGUGGUACGUACUGCAUAUUGAUGUGUGUGUGCUCAUUUCUCUCUGCCGCAGUGAAUCUUGAGGAAAACUUAGAUGUUGUGAUGAUUCUGAGACACAGUACUUUGUAAGGGUCACUGCAAUGCUUCACGUCGUCUACACCCAGAGAACUCCUAUGACGUAACUGAGACACAAGUCCAGAUCACAGACGUGCCAUCACUGGGGAUUAGGUGGAAAUCUGGUGUUUGAAUGCAAACUCUCUCUUUCAUGUUGUUUUUACCAUGCAGUCCUCAGCACCAGGGAAGGCUCUGAGGUGCCUGAAGCUCUGCUGCACACAUGCGCUGGAAGCCUUUUGCUCCUGACAGGGCUGAGUGCAUAUCUCACACCUAACCCCAUCCGGAUGCACAGACAAAGCAUUCCUCCUCCCGAGGGGCUGCAGGGCCACGCAUGUGCGAGACACGCUCGUGCAGGCGGGCUCUGAAAGCAGUGUGGUGGCACUGCAGCACAGUGGGGACAGAGUGGUGGGAGCAGGAGGCGCGAUACCUCAGAGGCACCAGGACAGAGCGGGCACGGGAUGGGCACUGCUGGCAUGAGCAUACUGCUGGAGCCCCAUAGCCCAUCUGUACUGCUCAGUGUGGAAGAACCCAAAGGCACAACCCCAAGCACCUCCUUCUGCUGGGGCUACUGGGACUUCUGCUUGAAUAAGGAAUGGAGCGUGGGCUCCAAUAAGAGACAUUUUAAAGCAGCCUGAACCACGUCUUCCUUCUGUGCAUGUCAGUGCAGCCUGUCAAAGCCAUUCAUUCCUAUAAAUAUUUUAAGAGUCCAGUGAUGGUGCUGAAAUGGAAGUCUCAGCUCCCUGUGCUGGCAGCCAUGCUGAUGUUUCCUAGAAUACACAGAGCUGAGUGAAGGAGGGUGUUGUGGGGAGGUUCAGUUCCUGGUUAAAAAAAGGGAAGAGGAAGCACAGCACUGUGUGCCCAGGGCCUUAAUCCCUCCCAUCCCCACCCCCUAUUAAUUCAACCACACAAUUUGUAAUCAUUCAUAGCAGUUGGAAUUGUCUUGAGUUUUAAAAGGCUUUUCUCAUUAACCAGCCCUUUAUUCCUUGCAAAGCACAUUAUUGAUCUUAAUAUGCAGAAAAUGCCAUCGCUAGCAUAAUGUCUGUGCCAUUUUUGUUGAACAAUGAGAAUUGAUGAGGCUUGGCAGGACAUUAAAAUAUUUAACAUUAUAGCUUUGAGAAGACUUUUAUGUGUCUAUAGUAAUAGGAAAAUCUUUUAACAGGAAAAAUGUUUUCCUCUGCUUCACUACAGUCUUCAGCGAGGGCUGAUUCUGUUUGUACUAAACCCAAUGGGAGGUUUCUUACUGACUUCAAAGGAGAGGAGGGGAACUCCAGUUUGGAAAAUCAUUGCUAGAAGCAAAUCUGAGCCUUCUGGUCACGUGAUCAGUGCCAUUUAAAUUAGCGUUUUGUGACACUCCCUGGGGCUGGGACCUUCAGCUUUGCCUCGGGAGAUGGAGUAUUGAGGAGAUGCCAAGAGGUGGCUGUGCAGCUCCUCACCAACCCAUCGUUUAAAGGCACGUGUGAUGGAUCAGGAGCCACCCAGGGGCAGCUAUCAACCUAUGUUCCUUGCCCCUAAGAGUCUCCUUCGGAGGCACAUUUUGAUGUAACUGCUCAGUUUUUCUGCUUUUGCUGUCCAAACCACCACUGACUUUUGAGGUUUUAACUCAGGCAGUGUGGCUGAUUUUCUGUCUUUACAGCAUUAUUUGCAGGGUACAGAACUCAGGAGAAGUUGUAGGGGAGAGGAGAGGGCAUUCAAAAAACAGACCAUUACUUCAUAGAUCUUUACAAGACCCGAACAGGCCCACAUCUGGACUGAGGAGCGGAGAUGAUGGAGAGCGAGGAAUCGGCUGCAAGCAGCCUGCUUCACAGGCACUCCUGGAUGGGUCACCCCAUGCCUGCGAGCAAUGGGUCAGGGCAGUGCUGUCAAUAACAUGGUGUUGUAUGUAAAGCUGGGAGCACAGAGUCCCACACCGUUGUAUGUGCUCAGCAAAGCUCCCAUUUGCCUCCAGGAGAAUUCUGCCUAUGUAAGGACUUAAGAGCCAUUGCUAGGAGCUAAGAAAAGAGCAUUAUUAAUUCACUUCAUCGCUGGCUCAGUGAAAGCCAACAGCUUUCUGCAGUCUUGCCAAAAUGAAGAGGAGAUGGUCUGAGGUACAUGCAGGGUGAUUUUCAUACCGAAGGUGAGAAAGGAGAAAUCGUUUUAAGGUACGGUAACUUGCCGUACAAACGUGAUCUGUGUUCCCUCCCAGCUUUGAAAGGAGACUUUAUAAACUCUGUGGCCUUUGAUUUGUUAAGGCAACCUUAUACUUAUUUUUUUUAAUUCCCAAGUUUGUGAGAAAAUAGAAAGGAACCCUUGAUGUUCUUAUGCUCUCGAUUAUCACUUCAUUGUAGAAGUAUUUGCUUAAUGAAACAUACAGCAAAUAUUGCACUGUAAAACCUGUUGCAAUGUACUCAAUAUCUUUUGGAAUUAAUAGAAAAAAAAAUACAAGACUGCAGAAAAGGCACUAAUUUUUAUUUUAUCUAAUAAAAAUGUUACUUGACUGCAAAGCACUUUGCUUUAUUUUCUCACUUAUAUUGUAUAUAUUUGAAGAGAAAUGUCUGCUGCACGUCAUCUAUCUAACACAAAAAACUGAUGCUGUUAUUAAUAAGUUACAGAGAAAAAUAAACCAGUUUGCACUUUGAUUUUUAUCAUUCCUAGUGAGCGAUUCCUUUGGAAUAAACAUAACUCUAACACAUGUAAACAACACAGGAAAUUAAUAACAAAAUUCUUUGGAUUUAUUUCAGAUGCCACAUACUUUAUGUAAAUAUAUGCGGCUUUCAAUUUCAAUGAUUUUCCAGUAAGUAAUAAACUUUGCUCAUUAACCUCCUUUUAAACUAAACAUUUAUUACUUUAUAAGUGUUAUUUCAACUAAAUCAAGUGGAUAUGCUCAGUAAAUGAAUGCAACAAAUCUGCUCAGCCAGAGAAGCAGGAUAGCUUCUUUUCAGCUGGGCAUACUGUGAGUUUCUUCUUCAGCUUCAAGGGAGUGGGAUGCAGCUUAAUUUGCUGAUUUUUCAUGUUAAAAAAAAAGAAAAAAAAAAAGGUUGGUAAUACAUAUAUAUUUUAAAAUAAACCUACUUUUUCCUCAUUAGCUCAGUGGUAGAAAACGGGAAAAAUUCCACAAGCUGAAUGAAGUUACAUAUCAUCUCAGUACCAUGAGCCUUGUGUUCAGUUUUUCACAGAACUGGUUUGGUGGAAUGGCCAGGUAUCAAUCUUCUCUUGGCAUGAUGUGUGGGGUAUCUUUUAGGGAAACAGUCCUCUUAAGUGCAUGAUUUUAAGAAUAUUAAGGCAGAAAUGUGUUUCAAUUUCUGUACAAGUACGAAAAAAACACACACUAAGAAACAUUCUGCUCUCAUAUUUACGAUUAUGUGUUUGCUGAAAAGUUGUUAGCAUUGGGCUCUGUGGAGGUGGCUGCAUGCCCACUUAAUCACAGGGGUGUGGACGAAGCCCUGCCAUACUGUGCAGGUUUGGGUGAGGACACUGCAGGACCCUGGACGCCUCCCUUACCCAAGAAACUAGAAGCAAAUUGGGACACUCAGGGACACAACAGAACCACCCACUUCUGAGCCCAAACUGGAUGGAGGUGCUCGGCCAGCCUCAGCUCCUUUCCCACAGAAAAAGCCCAAGGAAAAGAGUGGUGCUGGCACCAUGGGCUGCAGCAGCACAGGGCUGCCAGCACUGGGGCCAGCGAGACGCUGCCUUUCUCUGAGUGCCUUAGAUAUCGGAGCACGGCUGAAUAUUCAACAUGAGUGCUAGGCUUCUGGGUUUUAUCUCUUAAUGAGGCACAGGCUAUCCUUGAGGGACACUGAAUCAUCACAUUUCUCGCACACCAGAUUGCAACCAGCAGCGCUUAUUUGAGGGACUGCCUUGUCCAGAAGUCUGCAUAAGGCGAUCUUAGAUCUGAUUACAGAAGUCAAGCACUAAAAUCUAUUAACUCAGCUAUAAGAUUUUUCAGUUUCUUCUGUUUUUAUUUUGUUUGGUUCAAUUGGAUUUGCUUCAGACAUGACUCAUUUCCACUUCCUGCAUCUCCACAAUAGUUCCUGCAAGACCCUCAGCCAUGGAGCAUGGCUUGCACCCACUUCAAACACAAAGCAGUCUCAUUUCUAUUUUGCAGACUGAGGCUUCAUUUAAAUUAUACAUGGCAGGCCAGAGGGUGUGUAGUGCAUGUCCUUGGUUCCGUUAGUAGACUGAAAAGAAAACUACAAAGAAAAAAAGAAACAAAAAAAAUACUCUGGAUAUAUAAAGGGAGAAGUCAAACUCCAAAAGCUCUCAGGAAAUCAAAUUCUUCAGUCACGAGAAAAGUGACAUUAUCCAAAUGAAAUCUUAACAUAGCAUGGAAAUGUGAUGAAGAGUGUGGCUGGUAUUCUCAGUGAGGGUAUAGACAUGUAUGUAAAUAUAAUUAAAUUGGGAACACAUUAGAGGGAUUAAGGAGAUCUGCGUAGCACUAGAAGAAAGAAGCAACAGAUGUAACUGCUAACAAUAAAGGAAGGGAUUUCUGGCCAAAGUUCAAGGUUUUCUUGCACCCAAGCCCAUUGUUGCGAAUGAAUGGGGACACAGUAAAUAACUUGUACUGACUUGUAGAUCCAACGUCUUGCUGUUGUUGUUCAUGAUCUAGCUACCAUUUACCAACAUGCUGGUUUUUAUAAAUGAGUUCCUUCAGCAAACACACAACGCAGAUGUACUUUCAUCUAGGCAGCGCCAUUGCUCUAUUAAAACGAGAUGCUGCAGUUGCUGCAAGAUUGGUGGUGACCAAAAAGCAACAACAACUGAAGACGCCCAUAAAUUUCUGAGCCCUUAUUGGAAGGUUUCCAGCAACAGAGGGACCCGAACACCCACAAGGCUGAUCUUCAGGCUUCAAAAGAGGUCCAGGCAUCGUGCCAUAGAUAGGCUUCUCUCUGUG
ensembl:lncRNA